GUGCUCCUGGGAUCUGGGGCCCCCCCUCCCCUGGGAGCAAGGGGAUGUGGGAAGCUAAUCCUGGACGGGACCUACUGUGCCCAGGAGCUCGAGCAUCUUCGGUCCUUGCCACAACUUGCAAGGUGAGGCAGGGUCGUCGUAGGUGUACCCAGAAUGGUCACCGGGGGAAAACAGGAGCAGAGGAACCAGGACCAGAUCUGGAGGCAUCUGCAAGGUGCCUGGGCACCAGCUGGGAGCCAGAGGAAGGCAGAAAGAGGGGCAAAGACGUCGCGGG
rnacentral:lncRNA from 1 species